rnacentral:tRNA from 1 species
UCGGGACGUAGCCUAGGGGCUAAGGCGUCUGCUUUGGGAGCAGAAGAUCGGAGGUUCAAAUCCUCUCGUCCCGAA